GAUGAAGAACGCAGCGAAAUGCGAUAAGUAGUGUGAAUUGCAGAAUUCAGUGAAUCAUCGAAUCUUUGAACGCACAUUGCGCCCCUUGGUAUUCCAUGGGGCAUGCCUGUUCGAGCGUCAUUUGUACCUUCAAGCUUUGCUUGGUGUUGGGUGUUUGUCUCGCCUUUGCGUGUAGACUCGCCUUAAAAUAAUUGGCAGCCGGCGUAUUGAUUUCGGAGCGCAGUACAUCUCGCGCUUUGCACUCAUAACGACAGCGUCCAAAAGUACAUUUUACACUCUUGACCUCGGAUCAGGUAGGGAUACCCGCUGAAUUUAAGCAUAUCAAUAAGCGGAGGA
rnacentral:misc_RNA from 1 species